CACACAUUUUCUUUGAGUCAACAGGGUUGUCUUCGUUGAGGUCUUUAGGAAGCCAGCAUGGUUGAGCCAGUAUCUGCAGUUUUGGGAGGUGCAGCCGGCUUGGGUCUCUUAAAGCCAACAUGGUGGGCGUUCCAGUAAUUGCAGCUUUGGGAGGUGCAGCCGGCUUGGCAGUGGCCACGACUGCUGUACCAGUAGCACUGGGAGCAGCAGGCUUCACUGGAGCUGGAAUUGCAGCUGGCUCUCUGGCUGCAAAAAUGAUGUCGGCAGCGGCCAUCGCCAAUGGUGGAGGAGUAGCAGCUGGGAGCGCUGUUGCCGCGCUUCAGUCAGUCGGUGCUGCUGGGCUGUCCACUGCUACCACAGCUGCAGUGACAGCUGGUGGAGCACUGCUGGCUGCCAUCUUCCCUUAAGAAGAAGACACACAUACGCAGAGGCCAUAUCUACUUGGAAAGCAGUACUUGGAAGAUUAUGCUUUGCCGUCAAC